AAAAGAAAAGAAAAGGAAAGAAUGGGAGAAAUAUAGGAGGAAUAGCCAGAAAAGGAAGGAGAAAGCACUAAGAUUACCUUCUAUUAUAUCUUGGGCAGGAUUAGGAGCCUCUCUGCCUUCCUCUCCUCAUUUUCUACCCCCUCCCCAACCCCCCACCUUUACUAAGUCUGUCACCCCAAACCCUUAAUUCCAGUGGCUCAGACUAAAUGCUGAGUCCUGAGAAUGUUACACCCUCACUGAAGCAUUGCGAUCCCAGUUAGAUGAGGGAGAGAUGGCCACUUCCUGCCGCUCUACAGCUGCCCUGCUUAGUGAAGGCUGCCAGGGUCUUUGCAGGGCACCUGCCACCAUCGCAGGGCAGAAGCCCGCUUGUGGGCUGAGUCCUGUUCACUUCCAUCACCACUGGCUUCUUCAGGCACCAGAAAUCCUCAGGGUGACUUUCUCAGAACAGAAUGACAUGAUUUGACCAGACCUGACAUUCUAGAGGAGAGUCGUUCCCUGCAGGAUUACCAGCCUAGAUUCUUUCUCCUAAUGAGUCACCACACGAGGGAACAACAUCCUGUGGGCAGUCCUUUAGAAAAGCCUCACGCCAGACACUGUGCUGUAGCUCAGGGCUCUGAGGCCUGGCUUCGGUGUGCUUGGUUUCCUUGAGGUGGGAGAUGGCCUGGGGGAAAGCUCAAAUAAAUAUUUAGGUAAAACUGCUGAAGUUCGCUAACUCCCUGGGAAUUGUUUUAAGCUGUAAUGUUAGUGCUCUGCUUUUAAAGGGAUGCUCCUGCGGAAAUGUUCAGGAUGGAGUCUAAAGAUGUCUGCUACCCAAUUCCACAUGGUGGAGAGAGACAGAGGGACAGAGAAAGCAGAAGGGACAAUGUUAGAUCUAUUUGGUUGGUGUAUUGGUGUUUAUUGUUUUACUAGAGGCCCAGUGCAUGAAAUUUGUGAAAGGGUGCUAAGCCCUCGCAGCCCCUUGCAGCCUCGGCUUUGUCCAGAGGGUCGUUCUGUUGUUUGGUCUAAUGAGCAUAUUAGCUCUUUAUUAUAUAGGAUUCCUUCAACUUUUCUGUAUGUUUACAUUUUUUUUAACAUAAUACGUUGUAUUGUGGGAAAUAAAAGCAUUAAGAAUAAGGUUAAUGAGAAGAAUUUUAAAAGUUCAGUUGCUAUGGAUGGGAUCGUACAAUGGAGUGCAAUAUAGGAUGACACAGUUUCCAUGUGUCAUCAUGACACAGUCAUCAGCCACAGGAGCAGGAGAGGCUGGAGGGAAGGGCAACAUGGGAAUACAGGGAAGGCGAGCUCCAGGGAAAGAAAUAAGCAUCGCUCACUGCAGAGCUCAAAGUUACUGUGGAAGGGAAGGUUACAGCCUUUAAAUUACGUGUGUAAGUCUCAUGUUAGGAUUGAGGACAUCGGUAGAGCGU